GACGAACGCUGGCGGCGUGCCUAAUACAUGCAAGUAGAACGCUGAAGGAGGAGCUUGCUCUUCUGGAUGAGUUGCGAACGGGUGAGUAACGCGUAGGUAACCUGCCUGGUAGCGGGGGAUAACUAUUGGAAACGAUAGCUAAUACCGCAUAACAGUAGAUGUUGCAUGACAUUUACUUAAAAGGUGCAAUUGCAUCACUACCAGAUGGACCUGCGUUGUAUUAGCUAGUUGGUGGGGUAACGGCUCACCAAGGCGACGAUACAUAGCCGACCUGAGAGGGUGAUCGGCCACACUGGGACUGAGACACGGCCCAGACUCCUACGGGAGGCAGCAGUAGGGAAUCUUCGGCAAUGGACGGAAGUCUGACCGAGCAACGCCGCGUGAGUGAAGAAGGUUUUCGGAUCGUAAAGCUCUGUUGUAAGAGAAGAACGAGUGUGAGAGUGGAAAGUUCACACUGUGACGGAUCUACC
rnacentral:rRNA from 1 species